GGACUACUGGGGUUUCUAAUCCUGUUUGCUCCCCACGCUUUCGCACCUCAGCGUCAACAGUCGUCCAGUAAGUCGCCUUCGCCACUGGUGUUCUUCCGAAUAUCUACGAAUUUCACCUCUACACUCGGAAUUCCACUUACCUCUCCGACGUUCUAGCGAUGCAGUCUUAAAGGCAAUUCCGGAGUUGAGCCCCGGGCUUUCACCUCUAACUUACAAAGCCGCCUACGUGCGCUUUACGCCCAGUAAUUCCGAACAACGCUAGCCCCCUCCGUAUUACCGCGGCUGCUGGCAC
rnacentral:rRNA from 1 species